CCCUUAGAUGUUCUGGGCCGCACGCGCGCUACACUGAUGCAUUCAACGAGCCUAUCCUUGACCGACAGGUCCGGGUAAUCUUUGAAUCUGCAUCGUGACGGGGAUAGAUUAUUGCAAUUAUUAAUCUUCAACGAGGAACGCCUAGUAGGCGCAAGUCAUCAGCUUGCGUCGAUUACGUCCCUGCCCUUUGUACACACCGCCCGUCGCUCCUACCGAUUGGGUGUGCUGGUGAAAUGUUCGGAUCGGCCGUUUGUCGCGGUUUCCGCGGCUCGUGGCUGAGAAGUUCAUUAAACCCUCCCACCUAGAGGAAGGAGAAGUCGUAACA
rnacentral:rRNA from 1 species